rnacentral:ncRNA from 1 species
GACUUUGGAGAGACCUGUAAAGGCGCCGAAGGGGCAAAGCGUAUCGAAAGAUGCGUCCAAUCUCUCAGGCAAAAGGACAAAGU